rnacentral:siRNA from 1 species
AAGGCUACAGAAGCUAUCCCAUCU